rnacentral:snoRNA from 1 species
AUGGAGGGUUAAGAAAGCAGAGUUUGUGGAGUGAGACUCUGCUGAUACACCCCUCCAAGAGUAACUGGACGGUCAGAGAGCAGCCUGAGCUUAAAGAUUUUGUAACGGCUGACUGCACCAUCCUACACUU